rnacentral:rRNA from 1 species
UACAGAGGUCUCAAGCGUUGUUCGGAUUCAUUGGGCGUAAAGGGUGCGUAGGCGGCGCGGUAAGUCGGGUGUGAAAUCUUGGAGCUUAACUCCGAAACUGCAUUCGAUACUGCCGUGCUUGAGGACUGGAGAGGAAACUGGAAUUUACGGUGUAGCGGUGAAAUGCGUAGAUAUCGGAAGGAACAUCAGUGGCGAAAGCGACUUCCUGGACCAAUACUGACGCUCAUGUGCGAAAGCGUGGGGAGCAAACAGG